AGUAGGCAGCUUGGUACAGAGG
rnacentral:miRNA from 1 species